UCAUGUUGGAUAAAAGAAAGAAACCAGAGAAGUCACAAUUCACUUUGGACUGGGAAUCCUGAUGGCCUUAGAGGAGCAAUAUCAUCUUCUGGUUGACAGAUCUU
rnacentral:lncRNA from 1 species